rnacentral:rRNA from 1 species
UACGGGGGGGCAAGCGUUGUUCGGAAUUACUGGGCGUAAAGGGCUCGUAGGCGGCCAACUAAGUCAGACGUGAAAUCCCUCGGCUUAACCGGGGAACUGCGUCUGAUACUGGAUGGCUUGAGGUUGGGAGAGGGAUGCGGAAUUCCAGGUGUAGCGGAUGAAAUGCGUAGAUAUCUGGAGGAACACCGGUGGCGAAGGCGGCAUCCUGGACCAAUUCUGGACCGCUGAGUGAGCGAAAGCCAGGGGAGCAAACGGGG